AGCCUGGCAUAUUCCUCAGAGUCAUCAAGGCAAGCUGGCUUCAGUUUUCUAUAUGCCUCAGCCCUUCUGAGCUGCAGACCUCUUUGGGGAUGAAGAAUAAGCAGACCUCCUUCAUUAUGAGACACAGUCUGCAGCAUGACAAGAAGGGUGAAGGGAGUGCCAGUUUGGAAAGGCUGACUUGGUGGGUGAGCAGCAGACAGUGGGGGAGACACAGUGUGACAGUAAUCCCUCUAUUUCUGGUUCAGAGGCUUCCGAAGAAACAGGACUUGAAAGCAGAGAAGAAAAACUGUCAGGAGCUUAGAGACAUCUCCGUGUCAUGCAUCAAAAAACAGCUUGAGGAGUCAGACACA
rnacentral:lncRNA from 1 species